AUUGAACGCUGGCGGCAGGCCUAACACAUGCAAGUCGAACGAGUGGCGGACGGGUGAGUAAUGUCUGGGAAACUGCCUGAUGGAGGGGGAUAACUACUGGAAACGGUAGCUAAUAACGCAUACCAUCAGAUGUGCCCAGAUGGGAUUAGCUUGUUGGUGGGGUAACGGCUGACCAAGGCUACGAUCCCUAGCUGGUCUGAGAGGAUGACCAGCCCAAUGGGAACUGAGACACGGUCACGACUCCUACGGGAGGAAGCAGAGGGGAACAUUGGACAAUGGGCGCAAGCCUGAUGCGGCCAUGCCGCGUGUAUGAAGAAGGCCUUCGGGUUGUAAAGUACGUUCAGCGGGGAGGCGUUACCCGCAGAAGAAGCACCGGCUAACUCCGUGCCAGCCGCCGCGGUAAUUC
rnacentral:rRNA from 1 species